AACUGAGGUGAUCACCUACUGUAGCACUAACUAUCACAGAGGAAGAACCAUGAACACCAAAGAAUGAUACAAGGGAUCGCAAAUGGAAAGGUUUCUCACAUAUUCAGUCCACAUAAGAUGGAUCUGACAUGCAUAAGGUUUUGCCUUUGGAAUAUUGCAGAGUUGUUCGAUUGCACUCUACACAGCGAGCCAGAAGGCAACUGAUAAACUGAAAACUGGAUCUUAUCCAGAAAAAAAAAAUACAAGUCAAGCUAAAUACAUCAUUUCCUUAUGCAUGGUAUUACUUAAGAGCACAAUCCAGAUUACACUGCCCACUGCCCGCUAUGACAGUCCUGGUCUCUGCAAGCAACUGCACCUGGGAACUUAAUGUAUGUCCUGCCGUGGUCUCUGCUAUCACCCCCAGCCUGAAGGUUCCAGACACUAUGUUGAACACUUUAUCGGCAUUUAUAUAAUCCUGUUAAGAACACUAAGUGGGAACUCCGCUCCACCAAGUCUCUGGUCUGAGGAAAAGAGAUCUGAUAAUUACUUAGAUUGUGUUGUCACUACCAGGUACACUUGAGAUUUUUAAAAAGAGGACCACCACAGUCACCCUAAGGAAAUCGUGUAACACACUAUCUAGAAAAUCGUAAGUUCUCAUUGAACAUUAAUUCUCCUCUUAAAUUCUAGAAACUAAGAAAAAUAGUGCAUUUGUGGGCUGAAGUAUGUCACACUGGUAAUCUAGUCUUCAAUAUAUUCUCACCUCAUCUUAGAUUUUUCCACCUAUUCCAUAUUGAUAUGUAAGAAAUGUUUUGUUAAAGUAAGAUACUUUCCCUUUUGUGGUGAAGUCCUUUUUGUGUUAUAUUUAUUUACAUUUUGUGAACCCAUCUUACUAUGAUGGCUCUGCUGUUUAAUUUUACCUUUUCUAACAAUAGAUAUUUCUUCUCAAUAUGGGUUGUCAAAAAGUAAGCUUAGUAAAAAAGAAAUUCUCCUUAAGAAUCUUUAAGUGAAUUUUGAUUUAGUAGAAGAACUGAAUAAAGUCUAAUUACAAUAGACAACCAGUAUUAUCACUGAAGUGUCCAAAACAUGCUUUCAUUUAAUUGAGUCUAAAUUAUUUCUAUUACUCUAUUUCUAUUGGGAUUUAUGUUCCUAUUUCUAAACUAAACAGUAAUUAAAACUGUUAUCUAGAACCAGUACAUCAUAUUCUUGGUUAAAGAAUGCAAAAUGUAUUAGGUAAAAUUUCAAGCUAGAAUAACAAAGGCAGGGAAUUAGAUAUGUCUUUAAGAUCUAUUAGUUGUACAAAGGGAGUCUGAGGGACCAAUUCUAAGAGAACCAACUAUUGCAUGAUAUACAUGUUUUAAUUUCAUAUUCAACUCAGUUAUCACCUGCAAUAACGUCUGUACUGGCCAUUCAGCCUCUUAUGACAUGUUGACGAAGGUGUGAUUAACUUACUCUUAUUCCAGGAAAUAAGCAUAUGGAUAAAUAUAGAUAGACAUAUAUGCAUAUAUUUCCUUCCAGAAAAAAUAUACAAUCUUUAUACACUAUAAUAAUAAAAAAAAUAUGUAUAUAUGUGUGUGUGUACACACAAACACACACACAGAUGCACAUAUCCUGGGCAUAGUGGAUGAAGAAGGAAAUUUCUAUUAAAAAUUCUUAUGAAAUAAUUUUUAUUUCACAGUUUUUUAUCUUCAAUGUUAGAUAGGAAUGUAAUUUUAACUAUACUAAUAAAUAGUUUUCUUUCAACAAUUAUUUACAUCUUUUUGCAUUAUUUUUUUCCUCAUGUCCAUAUAGUUAAUUAGUUUCCUAUGGCAAAAGAAUACCCCACCAUUGACUACUCUUUUGUCAACCCUACCUUCUAUUACAUUUGGCUAUACUAGAAAAAUAUGAUAAGAUGGUCCACAGUAAUUAAUCAUAUAUAUAUUAGUACUUCCCAAUAUAUUAAGGCAAAGGCAGAUA